rnacentral:rRNA from 1 species
UACGUAGGCAGCAAGCGUUGUUCGGAAUUACUGGGCGUAAAGUGUGCGCAGGCGGCCGAGCAAGUCGAGUGUGAAAGCCCCGAGCUUAACUUGGGAACUGCGCUCGAAACUACUUGGCUAGAGUGUGGCAGAGGGAGGUGGAAUUCCACGUGUAGCGGUGAAAUGCGUAGAGAUGUGGAGGAACACCGAUGGCGAAGGCAGCCUCCUGGGCCAACACUGACGCUCAUGCACGAAAGCGUGGGGAGCAAACAGG